AGAGUUUGAUCCUGGCUCAGGACGAACGCUGGCGGCGUGCCUAACACAUGCAAGUCGAACGGAGAAUUCAAUAAGCUUGCUUAAAGAAUUCUUAGUGGCGGACGGGUGAGUAACGCGUGGGUAACCUGCCCAUAAAGCCGGGACAACCCUUGGAAACGAGGGCUAAUACCGGAUAAUCUUAGAUACUGGCAUCAGUAUUUAAGGAAAGAUGGCCUCUGAAUAUGCUAUCGAUUAUGGAUGGACCCGCGUCUGAUUAGCUAGUUGGUGGGGUAAAGGCCUACCAAGGCGACGAUCAGUAGCCGGCCUGAGAGGGUGAACGGCCACACUGGGACUGAGACACGGCCCAGACUCCUACGGGAGGCAGCAGUGGGGAAUCUUCCGCAAUGGACGAAAGUCUGACGGAGCAACGCCGCGUGUAUGAUGAAGGUCUUCGGA
rnacentral:rRNA from 1 species